AUUAUAAAAAUAAAAAUUUAAAAAAAGACAUCAAUUUUAAAAUAUUUUACUGUUUUUUUUUGGCAAAUUUAUGUAGUGCAUUGGUUACUGCGCAAUCGCUCAGUCGUCAUUUUGUUAGUUCACCAUUAGUUUCAUAGUUGUAAUUGAUCUAUUCUCAAUAUUUGUUACAUUUUUUUAAUAUUUUUACAUUGUUCUUAAUAUUCUCACGUAAUUAAUAUUAAAGAUUAUAGUGAAAUUAUAAUAUCUAACAGCAAUCGUGCUAAUAUAUAUGCUAUAGUAAUGGAGAAGAAAAUUAUUGACCAAAAAGAAUAUUUGAAAAAGUAUUUGUCUUCAGGAGAUUGCGAUGAUAAGAAAAAAAAGAAAAAGAAAAAGAUGAAAUUGGGAGCAAAAACAGUAAAAAUCAUUGAUGAUGACAUAGACUUGAAGAAUAUAAGACCAAUUGAAGAAAAUGAAUUUGAUAUUUUCAUCAAUGCAGAAGAUGCACCUCAAAUAGCCGGUGUAGUGGAUGAACAUGGACCAGUUGAUUUUAGUGAUAAAAGAAGAUGGAAAAUUAUAGCUAAUGAUGAAAGUGGUGAUUUAACAAUCACUAGUGUGGCAAAAGAAAAUAAACAAUCUAAACAAGUUAAGAAAAUUUCUGAUGAUGAUUUAAGUCCGUCAAAGAUACAACAGAAAUAUUCAAAUGAUGAUUUAUCUCCUCCAAGAAUAUCUAAAGAUGAGAGAAAUAAGAAAGUACAAAAGGAUGAAGAUAGUGAUCUAAGUCCACCUAGAAUAAAAUCUAGAAGUUAUAUUAAUUCUAAAUGUAAAUCUCCACAAAGUAAUAGUGAUGAUGAUAGUAAUCAAGAAACAGAUGUUCCAUCUCAUAAAAUUAAAAAAAAGACAAAAAGAAAAGAAAAAAUAUCAGAUGAUUCUGAUCUUAGUCCACCUAGAAAAAUUAAAAAUUAUAAUUCAGAUAUAAAUUCACCGAAAAAGAAUAAAAAAUAUAAACUUGAGAAAAAUAUAAUACAUAAAAAUGAUUCAGAAAUGAGUUCUUUUAGAAAAAGUAGAAGAGAUUAUAAUUCAGAUGUGAGUCCUAGAAAAAAUAAGAAUGAUUCUGAUUCAGAUUCAGAUAUGAGUCUUCCUAGGAAGAAUAGAAAAGAUUCUGAUUCAGAUCUAAGUCCACCAAGAAAAAAUAAAAAGCAUAAGCAUAGAACAAAAGAUAAUUCUGAAUUUAAUGCAUUUAAAAGAAAAUGUGAAAGCAAUGAAAUCAUUUACAUGAAUGAUAAAAAUAAGAAUAGAAAUUAUGAAUCAAAAUGGUAUAGAUACAGAGAUGAAAAAACAGAAAGAAAUAGAAUGUAUAAACAUUCUUAUAAAAAUUUUAAAUCAGAUAAGAGAUAUUAUGAUUCAGAUAUGAGUCCAUCUCAAAAAAAAAAUAGAGACAGUAUAAGUCCGAAUAAAUUUAGAAGUGAUAGAAAUUUUUAUAAAUCUAAAUCAAAUAGAAUAUUCAAAGAAAACAAAUCAAAAUAUAAAAAUAUUGAAGAAGGAGAUACUAAUAAACAAAUGAAGAAAACAUUAGAUGGAAAAAGAGCAGGACUACAAGAUGCUAAAGCAUUGCGAGAAGAAACAGAAGCAUAUAAAAAACGGGAAGCUGAACAUUUUAGCAAACUUAGUAAAGAAGUUACAGGAGUUGGUCAAGCAGUAGUUAUACGCGACACUAAAACAGGUAAAAAACGAAACUUAGAAGCAGAAGCACAAGAAGAACGUGAAAGACAAAAACAGCAAGAGGAAUUAGAUGAAAAAUAUGCUAAAUGGGGGAAAGGUUUAAAACAAGUUGAAGAUCACGAAGAAAAAUUGAAAGACGAUCUUUACGAAAUGAGUAAACCUUUAGCAAGAUAUGCAGAUGAUGCUGAUUUGGAUAAAAUACUUAGAGAACAAGAAAGAGAAGGAGAUCCUAUGUUAGAAUAUAUUAAACAGAAACAAAUAAAAGAAGGAAAGAGAAGACCAGAUCCACCAAAAUAUGAAGGAUCAUUCAUGCCAAAUCGUUUUGGUAUUAAACCCGGUCAUAGGUGGGAUGGAGUUGAUAGAAGUAAUGGAUAUGAAAAACGAUGGUUUGAAGCGCAAAAUGCAAAAGUAGCUCGCCAAGAAGAAGCUUAUAAAUGGAGUACUUCUGACAUGUGAAAUUUUUCAGCACGAGUCACGCAAUUAUGAAACAACAAAUGUGCAAGCCAUGUCCGUGAAAUAUGAAUCACCAACGGCGGUAAAUCGUGAAGGAUUAUCAAAACUACAAAAUCGAUAUUCGUUCCACAAAACAGGAAAAUCACGAGAAUUAUUGGCGCCUGUCUGCCACCGGUCUUGUCGAUUCAAUGCAACAAAGUAACCAAGUGAAGUAUUCAUUUAUGAAAUCGAUUGAACUUUGCAAAAAUUCUUAUUUUCUUCUUGGAUAUUACACAAGAAUUGGGAGUGGCGCGAAGUUGACCGAUGAUGCAUACAAUGAAAGCGAUACAUUUUUUGUGGGAAUUUAAAAAAAAUUUUGUUUCGUACGCAUACAAUUAUAUAUGUGUAUAUAUACAAAACCGCGAAAGAAUGUUUAUAUCGACUCGCGUAGUCACGACUCGCGACGCAAGGGCAGGGUCGUCGGCAGUGUCAGUAGUCAGUAC